rnacentral:lncRNA from 1 species
GAGAGAGAGAGAGAGAGAGAGAGAGACAGACAAACAGAGAGAGAGACAAAGAGAGAGAGAGAGAGACAGACAGAGACAGACAGACAGACAGAGAGACAGAGACACUGAUUGAUUUUGAGAGUACUGAGGUAAGCACUUCUCUUGUUACUUUCAUAAACUAUUGUGCUGUUGGAAAGUCAAUCCCUGCUGUGCAGGUGGGGUUAGAGAGUAAAGAGAGAAAGAACUCUGUAGCUACCACCAUCAUUGUAGGAAACAAAUGCUAUUUAGUCAUUGGGUAGAUAAGGGGACUUUAUAGGUAUAGCAGAAAAAAAAAUAUGUCAGACUCCAAAGAAGUUCAUUUUCAAGUAUGAAAACUUAACUGCAGUCUGACUUGUUUCUUACAAAGCCUGAAGUAGAAGACAGGGCUGCUCCCAAAGCCUGGUGGCUGGUUUAUAUGCAUGAACUGAGAGGGUUAGAGUCUGUAGUCAUAAAUGUUAUGGUUAUUGAGUGCUUAGUUUGGACUAGCCACUGGUACAUGUCUUUUCAGUAAUUUAAUUGGCUCAAAAUGCAGUGUGAUAAGGCCUGGAGAGAUGGCUCUGUUGGCUAAGUGCUUGCCGUGCAGGUAGAAGGGCACGAACUCAAUCCUUAGUACCUUCAUCCAACAACAAAACAAAGCAAAACAACAACAACAACAAAAAAAAAAACAGCGGUGCUUAUAAUAUCAGGGCUAGUGACGUGGAGCCAGGCAAGUGUUUGGGGCUUGCUGAGCAGACAGGCUAUGCUAUUUUAUAAGUGCUAGGUCAGUGAGACAUUCUCAAAAGGUGGACAGUGACUGAAGAGUGACACUGACUGUUACUCUCUGACCCCUCUGUACGUGCCACAUACAUGUGCAGGUACACCAAUACCUUCCGCAUGAACACACAGAAACCAAGAAGAAUCAUCUGGUGGCUGUUACCAUUAUAUGGGGGAGAAUCUGAGGCACAGAGAAAUUAAUCUAAGUUGUUUAACAGGAUGGCAGAGCCAGCAUGGGAGCCCAGGCCGGCUCUUCCCAGGCUCUGACUAUUUAAACAUAAUUCCAUUCUGUGGAGAAACCUGAUGAUUACAGGCCUGAGAGCAGCUUGGUUCUGCUGAACCGGGUCAAUGGGAGUGGAAUGGGGCAUGGUGAAGUCCUUUGAGUGUGGAGUACACCUAUUUUGCGACCUUAGGUGUAUGCCCAGACAUCUGUUGGCCUGUCUGUACUACGGUAGGUUUGCGCUAGAGAAUCUGUUGAAGACCUUUUUCUGUACUCCGUAGCCCCAGGGUGUGCGAGUUUCAGCCGAUGGCAUUGACAGGUGACACUCAGUCUAUGCUUCAGAUCCUGGGCUUUGACUCAGAGUGACAUAAGCUUGAAUUGGGGCUCUGCACUUUACUAGAAAUUCUGGGCACUUGAAUAACUAGGUAAAGUGGGAACACACAGAUCUUCCAGUUUUCUCAUGGAUUAAGUGGGUGUGUCUAGAGAUCGUCUCCUAUAGAGUGAAUCUGAAGAGUCAGUGCAUCCAUGCAUGCAGAAGAUGUGCUCACUCACCAGGAGCCCAGCAAGCAUCCCCCCACUACCUCCCUUUACUGUUAGGCAGACGCUGGAUCAUGUAUAUCCGUUGGUGCUCACCUUAGGAGAGGAGGGGGAUGCAUCAUCUUUAGCACCCCAUGUCUGAGCUUUGGCAUGUUGUUGGCCUCUGGCUGAGUUUGUGGGAUGAAGGGUUGAAGGGUUGUGUGCAGAGCAAGUGGGUGAGCCUGAUGCCUGGCAGAGUGAUCAAUAUGACCGGGGACUCUCACUGACACAGCAUUCUGGAAGUCUUGGCAGGGUUUCAAUCCUAAACUAACAGUUGGAAUCAGGAAGAGAUUUGC